GGAGGAUCUGCUGCCAAAAGAGAGAACUGAGGAUGCUGUGAUCAAACUGCUGGAAGAAAUCUGCCACAUUCUGCCUUCGUCCUACCGUGGCCAGUGCGAGGCAGUCGUUGGCAAGUUUAGCAAGUCAGUGCUGGAUGCAAUCAUCAGCUACGCCACCCCCGAGACCAUCUGUGCCCUCAUCCACUUGUGUAAAGGCCAGGAGGCUCUUGUAGUGGACCCGUGCACGCAACCAGAAUACAGAUGCAGAGACAUCAGGACCGCCCUCAGAUGUAACACUCUUUUCUACUGUCAGAAGUUCACCUGGAAGCCCAUGAGCAACAUUUAAAAUGUACGGUUUGGACAAA